AACUGAAGAGUUUGAUCCUGGCUCAGAUUGAACGCUAGCGGGAUGCCUUACACAUGCAAGUCGAACGGCAGCACGGACUUCGGUCUGGUGGCGAGUGGCGAACGGGUGAGUAAUGUAUCGGAACGUGCCUAGUAGCGGGGGAUAACUACGCGAAAGCGUAGCUAAUACCGCAUACGCCCUACGGGGGAAAGCAGGGGAUCGCAAGACCUUGCACUAUUAGAGCGGCCGAUAUCGGAUUAGCUAGUUGGUGGGGUAACGGCUCACCAAGGCAACGAUCCGUAGCUGGUUUGAGAGGACGACCAGCCACACUGGGACUGAGACACGGCCCAGACUCCUACGGGAGGCAGCAGUGGGGAAUUUUGGACAAUGGGGGAAACCCUGAUCCAGCCAUCCCGCGUGUGCGAUGAAGGCCUUCGGGUUGUAAAGCACUUUUGGCAGGAAAGAAACGUCAUGG
rnacentral:rRNA from 1 species